CAGGGAGACAACAAAAUGUUAAAUAUUAAUUUUGUCACCUUAGGUCGAUCGGUAUCUCACUUUCUUAAUUUUUUUGAGGAAUUCAUUUCCUAAGUUUUUUCUAGGUCACACCCAUCACUUUUCCUGGGCCAUUAGCUCAGGUGGUUAGAGCGCACCCCUGAUAAGGGUGAGGUCCCUGGUUCAAGUCCAGGAUGGCCCAUAUCUCUAUUUUGGGGGUAUAGCUCAGUUGGUAGAGCGCCUGCUUUGCAAGCAGGAUGUCAGCGGUUCGAGUCCGCUUACCUCCACUGAUUACCACCUCUCCCAUAAUGUUUAGAUAAGGAAAUGUUUUGAGUUGUGAUCAAAUUCUGAACGAAUCUAGCUUCCUAAUGAAAUUAUUAAGAUGCUGGAUUCAUUGAAUUAAUUUCAUUGUUUUCAGAGAACCUUGACAACUGCAUAGAUUAUUUUUAAAGACAAUAAGCAUCUUUAAUGAUGCAGAUUUUUUAUUUGUGCGAAUGCAUUAAUAACAAUUCUAUUAAGCUGAUGCUUCAAUUAUGAAGUUAUU
rnacentral:tRNA from 1 species